GUGCUCCCUUCAGCAACACAUACACUAAAACUGGAAGGACAAUGAGAAGAUUAGCAUGACCCCUGCACAAGGAUAAUGUGCAAAUUUGUGAAGCAUUCCAUUUUUUA